GAGGGUAUAGCUCUGUGGUAGAGGGCAUGAAUAGCAUGCAUGAGGUCCUGGAUUCAAUCCCCAGUACUUCCA
rfam:Camelus ferus unplaced genomic scaffold scaffold558, whole genome shotgun sequence.